rnacentral:rRNA from 1 species
GAGUUUGAUCGUGGCUCAGAUUGAACGCUGGCGGCAUGCCUUACACAUGCAAGUCGAACGGUAACAGGUCUUCGGAUGCUGACGAGUGGCGAACGGGUGAGUAAUACAUCGGAACGUGCCCAGACGUGGGGGGAUAACGAGGCGAAAGCUUUGCUAAUACCGCAUACGAUCUAAGGAUGAAAGCAGGGGACCGCAAGGCCUUGCGCGUUUGGAGCGGCCGAUGGCAGAUUAGGUAGUUGGUGGGAUAAAAGCUUACCAAGCCGACGAUCUGUAGCUGGUCUGAGAGGACGACCAGCCACACUGGGACUGAGACACGGCCCAGACUCCUACGGGAGGCAGCAGUGGGGAAUUUUGGACAAUGGGCGAAAGCCUGAUCCAGCAAUGCCGCGUGCAGGAUGAAGGCCUUCGGUUGUAACUAGCUUUGUUACGGAACGAAAGGACUCUGGCUAAGUACCUGGGCGACAUGAC